rnacentral:rRNA from 1 species
GAUGAACGCUGGCGGCGUGCCUAAUACAUGCAAGUCGAGCGAACCACUUCGGUGGUGAGCGGCGAACGGGUGAGUAACACGUAGGUGAUCUGCCCAUCAGACGGGGACAACGAUUGGAAACGAUCGCUGAUACCGGAUAGGACGAAAGUUUAAAGGUGCUUCUGGCACCGCUGUUGGAUGAGCCUGCGGCGCAUUAGCUAGUUGGUAGGGUAAAGGCCUACCAAGGCGACGAUGCGUAGCCGACCUGAGAGGGUGAACGGCCACACUGGGACUGAGACACGGCCCAGACUCCUACGGGAGGCAGCAGUAGGGAAUCUUCGGCAAUGGGCGAAAGCCUGACCGAGCAACGCCGCGUGAAUGAUGAAGGCCUUCGGGUUGUAAAAUUCUGUUAUAAGGGAAGAACGACUUUAGUAGGAAAUGGCUAGAGUGUGACGGUACCUUAUGAGAAAGCCACGGCUAACUACGUGCCAGCAGCCGCGGUAAAAC